GAGCGCCCGCAGCGCCGACCCGCGCGCCAGCCUGCCGACCCUUCUGGGAGCAGCGUGAGCAGCACCGCUGCGGGAGCAGUGAGACCGCACUCGUCCCGGCGGUCAACAUCAAGAUGCUGCCGGUGUACCCGGAGCCGAAGCACAACCCGCUGGGGGAUGCGAACAUCUGCUCGCGCCUGUUGUUCUGGUGGCUAACCCCCUGUUGCGAGUUGGCUACAAGCGGAGGUUAGAGGAAGAUGACAUGUACUCGGUGCUUCCAGAAGAUCGCUCCGCACACCUUGGAAAAGAGCUGCAAGGGUACUGGGAUGAGAAGUUCGAGAGCUGAGAAAGACGCACAGGAGCCUUCUUUAACGAAAGCCAUCAUCAAGUUACUGGAAACCCUAUUUAUUUGGGAAUUUUGAUGUUUCUUGAGG
rnacentral:lncRNA from 9 species